UACGUAGGGUGCAAGCGUUAAUCGGAAUUACUGGGCGUAAAGCGUGCGCAGGCGGUUGUGUAAGACAGAUGUGAAAUCCCCGGGCUCAACCUGGGAACUGCAUUUGUGACUGCACAGCUGGAGUGCGGCAGAGGGGGAUGGAAUUCCGCGUGUAGCAGUGAAAUGCGUAGAUAUGCGGAGGAACACCGAUGGCGAAGGCAAUCCCCUGGGCCUGCACUGACGCUCAUGCACGAAAGCGUGGGGAGCGAGCAGG
rnacentral:rRNA from 1 species